CCAUGGUUUCUGGUUCUUACCGAAAGUGUGACUGUACCCAGCCAGGCUGCUCGGAUUUUUGAAAGACUACAUUUCCUCAUGUCCCUAUCAACAGUUUGUGUUGGUUGAGAUAGGGUGUGCUGGUUGCAGGGAGAGGUGGCAUUUCUGUGCCUGUGCAGUCUGAAUAAAGGACACAAACACUUGUCCCCCUAAAGGAACAGUUGAGAAAUUGUCCCAAAAAGCCCUUUCACCUCUCCAUGCGGGUUCCAUGAGGAAGUGGGCAGCUGUAAGAGUUUCGAAUCCCCUUAGCAAUCGGGAAAAUUUAAGCAAACACAGAAGCUGACCUCUUAUGUUGAAAAAAAAAGAGUCUCUCUCUCUCUCUAUAUAUAUAUAUAUAAAAACCCACAUGCUGGAUCUCAUUGCAUUUUAGACCAUGGCUAAGCACUUCACGGACAUAUGUCCCCUGCCUCCUGAGUCCAUGACCCGAGCUUAUCUGGGUCUGUGGGAAAGUCAGCCUGCUGGGGUGAUAGGUUGAGGCAGGUGGAGCUGACGGACACCGGGUCAAUGGUUAGGAGGCUCUCUUCUCCUGGCUGAUGCUCAGGCAGGGGAGAAGAUGGCAGCUGUAGCAAAGGCUUGUUGGAUGCAGAGAGUGGGCUGUGUCUCAGGGUAGGGAUGCUUCUGGGAGGUGGUGGAGCUGGACCGUGGGUCAUGGCAGGGUUAUGUUCUGAGAUACAGGCGUGUUCGCUGGCCAUGGGCUCAGCGCCUGUCAGCUUUUGCUGUGUAACUAGUCCCCUGCCUUUCAAAAGUUAGGGGCUUAAACGUGCCUCUCUUGUCUCCGGUUUCUGAAGGUUGGACUUCUGGGCACUUGGGAAGGAGACAAAGCCUCAUUAGCGUGAUGCUUUGGAGCAGCAAAGAGAUGGCUGGAUGACUGGAGAGGCUGUGUCUGUAGCCAAACAGGGUGGAGUUGCUACCCCAGCAGUGAGGCUUAGGGGGCCAGAGGCAGCAUAUGCCACCUGGCUGGACUUCAGUAGAGGAGGGGACCUGACAGCAGCUGUGGCCCAGCAUCAAGGGACAGGUGAAGUGACUCUUCAGUCCUGUCUGUCGAGGCCCUGGAGGCUGAGGGCAGAAGUCUCCAGAGCUCACCGCUCCCGGACAAGGGGGAUGGCUGUUGAGUGGGCCUUGCCCUUGGAGACUCUAUUCUACAAGCAGCUUUGGACUCCAUCUUGAAUGUGGCUUCCGGGUGGACCCUGCAGCUGCACCAUCUGCCAGGUACCAUCCACCCAGCACAGACCGACAAAUGACUUAUUCCACGUUACAAGUUUGUUAGGGUGAAUUGAGGCUAUAGGGGGCAUGUGAGUGUAGGUUGUAGGCUGUAGGGGGCACAUGGGUGUAUUGAGAUCCUAUCAGGGAAUCAUCAAACACACCAGGUCAGGGAAAAUACGACUCCUCUGGACACCAUAGUGAUGUUACCUGACAGUGCAAUGACAUGGCUCCACACCAACCUGUCAUUUACCCGGUGUGUACCUCAAGGACCAGCAAGCAGAGGACUGCCUGAUUCUGAUGCAGCCUAUUGCCUGGCUGCCUGUCCACCAUCUGGACCUGAACUUGCCAUUUCUUUCUCUGGACCUCGAUCUGCUUUUUUCAUCAUAGCUGGACAGUUUCACUCUCAACCCUUGACUUCAGCGGUGGCGGUGACAACCCCCUCUUUGCACUGGUGUGGUGUGAUGUCUUAUCUGUCUGCCCAUCCAUCCAUCCAUCCAUCCAUCCAUCCAUCCUAUGUAUAUAAGUGCUCUAUUGGCAUAUACAUGGACAUACCCAGAAGAGGGCAUCAGAUCCCAUUAUAGGUGGUUGCGAACCACCGUGUGUUUGCUGGGAAUUGAACUCAGGUCCUCUAAGAGAGCAGACAGUGCUCUUAACUGCUGAGCCCGCUCUCCAGCCCAAGGUAUCUUAUCAAUACAGACUCUCAGGCCACUUCUGAAGUGUUUGGAACUCUGCUGUAGCCUCUUUAACUGUAUUCUUUCUGUAAAGAUGCAUACAUAGACACAGACAUCUCUCCUAUGUGCCUUCUGCUGUGUAAUAUGAGAGUUUACAUUAGUAAUUAAGAUCAGAAAAAG
rnacentral:lncRNA from 1 species